GGUGACGUGUCCGAGCGGCCGAAGGAGCGCGCCUCGAAAGCGCGAGAUGGGUUUCCCCCAUCCGUGGGUUCAAAUCCCACCGUCACCGCCA
rnacentral:tRNA from 1 species